UAAAGUAAAGCUUAUUAUAAAGCAUUCCGCUUACACCGGAAAGAAUAUUGUGUAAUUCAAUAUACUUUAA
rnacentral:tRNA from 2 species